UACGUAGGUGGCAAGCGUUAUCCGGAUUUAUUGGGUUUAAAGGGUGCGUAGGCGGUUCUAUAAGUCAGUGGUGAAAUCCGGCAGCUCAACUGUCGAUGUGCCAUUGAUACUGCAGAACUUGAGUACAGACGAGGUAGGCGGAAUUGACGGUGUAGCGGUGAAAUGCUUAGAUAUCGUCAAGAACACCGAUAGCGAAGGCAGCUUACUAGGCUGUAAACUGACGCUGAUGCACGAAAAGUGUGGGGGAUCAAACAGG
rnacentral:rRNA from 1 species